rnacentral:rRNA from 1 species
GACGAAGGGGGCUAGCGUUGUUCGGAAUUACUGGGCGUAAAGCGCGUGUAGGCGGUUGCCCAAGUCGGGUGUAAAGCCUUGAGCUCAACUCAAGAAAUGCACUCGGUACUGGGUGACUAGAGGACCGGAGAGGAUAGUGGAAUUCCCAGUGUAGUGGUGAAAUACGUAAGAGAUUGGGAAGAACACCAGUGGCGAAGGCGGCUAUCUGGGCCGUAACUGACGGCUGAGGAGCGAAAGCGUGGGGAGCGAACAGG